rnacentral:tRNA from 1 species
CGGGAUGUAGUUCAGUUGGUAGAACGCACGGUUCGGGACCGUGAGGUCCGCGGUUCGAGUCCGCGAUCCCCGACAAAGUUUCGGCGGGCAGGGACGAAGAGGCCGCCAGUUCGAGUCUGGCCAUCCCGACCA